rnacentral:rRNA from 1 species
UACAGAGGGUGCGAGCGUUGUCCGGAAUCACUGGGCGUAAAGGGCGCGUAGGCGGCUGGGUAAGCGUGUGGUGAAAGUCCGGGGCUCAACCCCGGAUCGGCCAUGCGAACUGUCCAGCUGGAGCACGGUAGAGGCACAUGGAAUUCCGGGUGUAGCGGUGGAAUGCGUAGAGAUCGGGAGGAACACCAGUGGCGAAGGCGGCCUUAUGGACCAGUACUGACGCUGAGGCACGAAAGCGUGGGGAGCAAACAGG